UCAGGACGAACGCUGGCGGCGUGCUUAACACAUGCAAGUCGAGCGGAAAGGCCCUUUCGGGGGUACUCGAGCGGCGAACGGGUGAGUAACACGUGAGUAAUCUGCCCCAGGCUCUGGGAUAGCCACCGGAAACGGUGAUUAAUACCGGAUAUGACGACUGGNCGCAUGGUUGGUUGUGGAAAGUUUUUUCGGCUUGGGAUGUGCUCGCGGCCUAUCAGCUUGUUGGUGGGGUAAUGGCCUACCAAGGCUUUGACGGGUAGCCGGCCUGAGAGGGUGACCGGCCACACUGGGACUGAGACACGGCCCAGACUCCUACGGGAGGCAGCAGUGGGGAAUAUUGGACAAUGGGCGGAAGCCUGAUCCAGCAACGCCGCGUGAGGGAUGACGGCCUUCGGGUUGUAAACCUCUUUCAGUGCAGACGAAGCGCAAGUGACG
rnacentral:rRNA from 1 species